rnacentral:rRNA from 1 species
AUCCGGAGGUUGUUGACCGCAGGUUCAAACAUAAAAGGUGGUUCGGUACCACUUACAGAUGGACCCGCGGCGCAUUAGCUAGUUGGUGAGGUAACGGCUCACCAAGGCAACGAUGCGUAGCCGACCUGAGAGGGUGAUCGGCCACACUGGGACUGAGACACGGCCCAGACUCCUACGGGAGGCAGCAGUAGGGAAUCUUCCGCAAUGGACGAAAGUCUGACGGAGCAACGCCGCGUGAGUGAUGAAGGUUUUCGGAUCGUAAAGCUCUGUUGUUAGGGAAGAACAAGUACCGUUCGAAUAGGGCGGUACCUUGACGGUACCUAACCAGAAAGCCACGGCUAACUACGUGCCAGCAGCCGCGGUAAUACGUAGGUGGCAAGCGUUGUCCGGAUUAUUGGGCGUAAAGGGCUCGCAGGCGGUUUCUUAAGUCUGAUGUGAAAGCCCCCGGCUCAACCGGGGAGGGUCAUUGGAAACUGGGGAACUUGAGUGCAAAGAGGAGAGUGGAUUCCACGUGUAGCGGUGAAUGCGUAAGAUGUGGAGGAACACCAUGGCGAAGCGACUCUCUGGUCUGUAACUGACGCUGAGGAGCGAAAGCGUGGGGAGCGAACAGGAUUAAUACCCUGGUAGUCCACGCCGUAACGAUGAUGCUAAUGUAGGGGGUUCCGCCCCUUAUGCUGCACUAACGCAUUAACACUCCGCCUGGGAUACGGUCGCAGACUGAACUCAA